rnacentral:misc_RNA from 1 species
UUUCCGUAGGUGAACCUGCGGAAGGAUCAUUACUGAGUGAGGACCCCUCGGGGUCCAACCUCCCACCCGUGUACAACGACCCUUGUUGCUUCACCGGCCCCGCCCCACGACCCCCGGGGAGGCAUCUGCCCCCGGGCCCGCCCCCCCCGCACCCACCUGUGUCCCCUCUCUGAAGUAUGCAUUCCGAGACAAUUCUUAAAUUCAAUAAAACUUUCAACAACCGACCACUUGGCUCCUGCAUCGAUCAAGAACGCAGCAGACAGGAAGAGGACACGUCUG